rnacentral:misc_RNA from 1 species
UACGGAGGAUGCAAACGUUGCUCGGAAUCAUUGGGCGUAAAGCGCACGUAGGCGGCACGUUAAGUCGGAUGUGAAAGCCCUCGGCUCAACCGAGGAAGUGCAUUCGAAACUGGCGAGCUUGAGUAUGGGAGAGGGUUGCGGAAUUCCCGGUGUAGAGGUGAAAUUCGUAGAUAUCGGGAGGAACAUCAGUGGCGAAGGCGGCAGCCUGGACCAAUACUGACGCUGAGGUGCGAAAGCGUGGGGAGCAAACAGG